CUCUUAUAUAGUAAUAGCCAUUACUAAAGGAUAAAGUGGUUGUGAAGAGGGAAGCAGAGACCUUUAAAAAUAAACCAGGUCUAAACUUCCUUUAAUAUACAGCAUUAAACUUCAGUUCUGCUAUGUAUUGAAAUAGUUGAAACUUUGUGCAACAUAUGAUAAACAUCUUUCUGAUGCGGAAAACAUAUACUUUAGUAACUGUGCAAAAGUACUUUUCUACAUACCUAAGGUGGCCUACAGCUUUGGUACGCACUAGUGAAAGGAGAAUAUAAUCAUUUUGUUGACCUUGAAAUCUGUCCACAGUUGUUACCUUGUUUGGCCGUCCAAUCAAUGGAUUAUUCCCACAGCGCUGGUUAAUGACAUCUCGGAUCAGAUGUUUCUGUCCAUUGUACGUUGUCAGGAUACUUAUCCUGUCUGCAGGAUAACCAAGCAGGCACAUAUACAUGAAAACUGCCACAACGUAUUCUGCUUCACCAAGAUUCUGAUAGAAAUAAGGAUUGGGUUCAGACUCUCCCACACCAUUGAAGUCUUCUACGUUUAUAAGUUGGAAGUCAUAUAAAAACCCAG
rnacentral:lncRNA from 1 species